rnacentral:rRNA from 1 species
UACGAAGGGGGCUAGCGUUGCUCGGAUUGACUGGGCGUAAAGGGCGCGUAGGCGGCUUGUACAGUCAGACGUGAAAUUCCUGGGCUCAACCUGGGGGCUGCGUUUGAUACGUAUGGGCUUGAGUUCGGAAGAGGGUCGUGGAAUUCCCAGUGUAGAGGUGAAAUUCGUAGAUAUUCGGAAGAACACCAGUGGCGAAGGCGGCUCACUGGACCGGUAUUGACGCUGAGGUGCGAAAGCGUGGGGAGCAAACAGG